CGAAAAACAAAUUCUACGGUCGGCAAGGGGCUUGGAUCCGACCCCAACGGAACCGUUCGGAUGACCGGUCCGCUGAGAGAAUGGAUGGUGAUCGUUUUUGUACCACCAAGCCCGAUGCAACCACUGGCGUGAAGACGGCGGAAUCAAUUCCUCGGUUCCUGGGAAAGUGUACCGAAGACGGUCCUUUAAGACGGCGUGGGAGUGUGAAAUGGCACUAAUUGCGUGGGGAGUGUAAGUCUGCUGCCACUGCCCUAAACACGCUCACCCAGUCUGCGAUCUGGCCCGACGACACAGCCGAUUGAUCAGAUCAUGGUGGGUUAGCAAUGAACCAUGUUGUCUUUAGUACGGAUCGAGGUAUGGAUUUUCACUUGGAGCCGUCAUUCGCCGGGUCCAGCCUGGCGUUACACGCUCCCUUGACCGCUGGACCACUCAAGCCCAUGACAACGCCCAACACAGAGGAGGAAACAGGUCUAUAGUUUCAUAAAACAUUUUAUGGGAAUCCGGGAACUGAGCUCACUUCUCUGGAUGACAUCUUCUUUUAAAUAAAG